GAAAAAUCGACCCCGAAGCAACGCGUGUUCGUCGUUCCCCGUCAAUCAAAGCAUAAGCUGCCUGCUCUAACGUCCUUUUCUGCUCUUGUUUGUACGACAGGGCAGGGUAUCCUAAAGCCAUCGUCCUUGAGCACUCAGAAAUGAGGCCACGUAACCCAACAAGGGCGCACAUUCAAUCCGAACCCUACACGCAAUUUCUAUCCGUUCAUUUUGUGAGG
rnacentral:misc_RNA from 1 species